GGUGGAAUAGCAUAGGGGGUAGUGCAGUCCGCUGUAAACGGAUGGGGAAAUCCCGACGGGAGUUCGAGUCUCUCUUCCAUCA